UGACCAGCUGUGAAGACUAUUUUGACCUGCUGGUUUGAUCACCUAGUGGAAAGUAUUUCUUAUAAAGAAUUUCAGAUCAAAUAGUUUUGCCCACCUGUGAAAACCAGUUACCCUCCUGUUGAAAAGAUUAAUGAAACCCCUUCUGUUAGCUUUUCAACUUACAGCUUAUCAAACAACUUUAAUACAGAGUGUUUACGACUUGUUUUCAGGUCAGCACUUUGGUAGAAAACAAUGAGCGUAUUUAUGACACAAGACAUGGAGGAUUUGUUCAGUUCAAGGACAGGCAAGGUCAAGGCAGCUAUCGUCGACAAAACCAGCAGCAUUAUGAUCGACAAGACAGGCCAGAAAAACAGGACAGGCAAGAUCGGUACAACUGGCAGGAGAGAUAUGGGCACCAGUAUGACCGACCUUACCAACAGCCACAGUCACAAUCAUCUUAUUGAUCUAGAGACAAUAUGCAUAAUUUAAUCAAGGAACAUGUCAACACUUGUUAUGGCCUGUCUGUGAUUCAAGCUGAUAGUGUCCUUGUUAGCAAAUGUGAUGAAUUUGAGUACACAUUAACUAAAAUGAACAAUGGAAUCCCAAUUUCUUGAUCCAGUUAGGCAGACAAAAAUUAUUUUGGAAAUUUAAAGCUUGAAAAACUGUAAGUGGCAAUGCAGUACAUUAAAUAAUAUGAACCUAA